UGCUGAUAAGAGUCACAGCCCGGGAUC
rnacentral:piRNA from 1 species